rnacentral:rRNA from 1 species
UGGGGAAUAUUGGACAAUGGGCGAAAGCCUGAUCCAGCCAUGCCGCGUGUGUGAAGAAGGUCUUCGGAUUGUAAAGCACUUUAAGUUGGGAGGAAGGGCAGUAAGCGAAUACCUUGCUGUUUUGACGUUACCGAAAGAAUAAGCACCGGCUAACUCUGUGCCAGCAGCCGCGGUAAUACAGAGGGUGCAAGCGUUAAUCGGAAUUACUGGGCGUAAAGCGCGCGUAGGUGGUUCGUUAAGUUGAAUGUGAAAGCCCCGGGCUCAACCUGGGAACUGCAUCCAAAACUGGCGAGCUAGAGUAGGGCAGAGGGUGGUGGAAUUUCCUGUGUAGCGGUGAAAUGCGUAGAUAUAGGAAGGAACACCAGUGGCGAAGGCGACCACCUGGGCUCAUACUGACACUGAGGUGCGAAAGCGUGGGGAGCAAACAGG